GAUGAACGCUGGCGGCGUGCCUAAUACAUGCAAGUCGAGCGAACGGACGAGAAGCUUGCUUCUCUGAUGUUGGCGGCGGACGGGUGAGUAACACGUGGAUAACCUACCUAUAAGACUGGGAUAACUUCGGGAAACCGUAGCUAAUACCGGAUAAUAUUUUGAACCGCAUGGUUCAAAAGUGAAAGACGGUCUUGCUGUCACUUAUAGAUGGAUCCGCGCUGCAUUAGCUAGUUGGUACGGUAACGGCUUACCAAGGCAACGAUGCAUAGCCGACCUGAGAGGCUGAUCGGCCACACUGGAACUGAGACACGGUCCAGACUCCUACGGGAGGCAGCAGUAGGGAAUCUUCCGCAAAGGGCGAAAGCCUGACGGAGCAACGCCGCGUGAGUGAUGAAGGUCUUCGGAUCGUAAAACUCUGUUAUUAGGGAAGAACAUAUGUGUAAGUAACUGUGCACAUCUUGACGGUACCUAAUCAGAAAGCCACGGCUAACUACGUG
rnacentral:rRNA from 1 species